rnacentral:lncRNA from 1 species
CGUGGGCGAAAAACUGGGUCACGAUUUGUCUGGAUGUGUGUCACUCUGUCAUGAAGAGUUCACGGAACAUUGAAGAAUAAAUCAAAAACAACUGAAAAUUAAUGGAGUUUAAUGCUGAAUUUUAACAUCAUAUAUAUAAUACAGGUAAAUUUCUUGCUUUUUGUCGCGAAAUUUAACUUAAUUUCGGUGUGCGGACACCAAACCGGCGAAAAAAUGCCGAGUUGUUUACGCCAAUGUGCUCCAUGUACUUUUUCACCCUGAACUUGGUUCGACAGAUGUAUCACGUACCCUUAAUUAAUUACAUGUUGAGUGACCAUCUGUUUCGGUCAAGACAGGUAGAAAAGAGUUAGUGUAGAGGAUUUGAGUAACAGAACAGUUACAGAUGACUUUGAAAGGUUGGAAAUCAAAACAAAAUAGAAAGUUGACAAAGGGGUACUAAGCAGGAGUUUUGUCUAUAGCUAUAUUUUGCAUAACAGUCAAUCAACCAUAGCUCUUUUAAUACUUUGAGAGAAAAAAAAAUAAUAUAGUAUAGUGUGCAUACACAGAGAUAAAACUAUUUUUUCCUAUUUAUUUAGUGUACCUGUGUAUACAUGCAUGUAAUUUUAAUUUCAUUUGAAGAAUAACAAACUAAAGCAACAUAACACCCCUGCAGGCCUACUACAUCACAUUACAUACAUUGUAAGUGUUUCAUGUGACCAACUUUUAAAGGAGCAUCACACAAUUCAAUUUAGAUUAAAGAACCUUAGGUAACCGGUGAAAUAAGUCCUUCAGGAACAUAUUAAGAAUAAAUCAUGUCACUUUCUUUUAACCACAUAUUUGGAUAUUUUUAGAUGCUAGGAGAAAAAAAUUAAAUUUGUUCAACAAACCAGAGCGAUUUCCCCCUAUGUUUUUGUUUUUCUCUAUGAUAAAUGAUGAUAUAUUUAGUCAGAUCCUGUCUUUGAGCCGUUUCAUCAAUCUCAUGGUUAACAGGGUUCCUUUUGGAAGAGGCCUAGGUCACUCCAAAACCCAACAGACUCAUACCAUGCUUACCGUAAAUACUAGUUAAAUUUUCAUAUAAUGUACUCCAAUUUCCCAGUAUCUUUUACAACUACAUUUGUACCAGUAUCAUGACUACAAAAAAGGGGCGUAAGAUACAUUUGUACCAUGGACAUUCGAACUCAUCAAUAAAAAAUAAAUUGACAACACCAAGGCUAAAAAGAAAGAAAAAAAACAGACAAACAGUAGUACACAAAAAAACAUGUAUUAUGCUUCUUCAAUUUUUCUGUGCAUUCAUUGAAUAUACACGUGUAUAAGGACUUUUAUCACUGUGUUUUUACUCCCUUGCUGCUACAAUGUACACCAUGUACCCCAUUGACUGUCGUUCCAAAAGAAUUGUCACAUAUUAAAUUAGCAAGAGCUUGGACAUUCAUGGCCUUAGACACAUUCUUGUAUUAUUUCAUCAUUUUAUUGGACUUGUUUAUACUUGUUAUUUUCAGGUUUUGCACAACAUUCCCUCUAGGGGUGCACAAAUUAGCUAUGAGACUUUGUGUGUUGCCUCUAGGGGUGCACAAAUUAGCUAUAAGACUUUGUGUGUUGCUUCAUAAUUUGUAUCUUUUUUAAAUUUGGGGACUCCUUUUGUAUAAACUUUGAUAAUGAAGAUGGUGUAAUAAGGUAUGAACUCAGAAUAAUGGUAGAUGGUGAGCCUCAUCAGACAUGGACAUGAAACGAAGUGAGAUGGUGGGAAAUGGAAUCCCAUCGAAAUGGGAAAAGAUAUAUUCAAAUUUCCAUGUAUCGAAAUUGGAAAAAAUAUAUAUAUAAUACAUAAAUAUUUAAAUUUUUAUGUAUGCAUUUUCUUCAACAAUGUUGAAUGCAUGAAAUAUGUACCAUUAAAGAUAACUGCAUAUAUAAAUUUUAUACUUUUGUACAUUUCUGUUGUAUGAACUGAUGAGGGAUGAAUGUUAAAUAGUAUUCUGCGCCCACACUUGUAGAUAUGCUAUUUGGUCAGUAUACAAAUUAUACUAAUAACAUAUUUUUUUUAUCUUGUAGACUUUUGCAGAAGGCGCUGGCGAUGGCCUUAUGAAAAAAGUUUCAGAUUUGGGUUCCACACUAUUAUGAAUACUACCACAAUGGGCAAAGAGGCAAGCUUGGAUGGAUUAG